rnacentral:rRNA from 1 species
AAUAGAUACCCCGGUAGUCCACGCCGUAAACGUUGGGCGCUAGAUGUGGGGACCAUUCCACGGUUUCCGCGUCGUAGCUAACGCAUUAAGCGCCCCGCCUGGGGAGUACGGCCGCAAGGCUAAAACUCAAAGGAAUUGACGGGGGCCCGCACAAGCGGCGGAGCAUGCGGAUUAAUUCGAUGCAACGCGAAGAACCUUACCAAGGCUUGACAUAUGCGAGAACGCUCUAGAAAUAGAGAACUCUUUGGACACUCGUAUACAGGUGGUGCAUGGUUGUCGUCAGCUCGUGUCGUGAGAUGUUGGGUUAAGUCCCGCAACGAGCGCAACCCUCGUCGCAUGUUGCCAGCACGUAAUGGUGGGAACUCAUGUGAGACUGCCGGGGUCAACUCGGAGGAAGGUGGGGAUGACGUCAAAUCAUCAUGCCCCUUAUGUCUUGGGCUUCACGCAUGCUACAAUGGCCGGUACAAAGGGCUGCGAAACCGCAAGGUGGAGCGAAUCCCAAAAAGCCGGUCUCAGUUUGGA